CCAAUUGGAUGACCAUUCAAAUAGAUUUUUCCCAGUCAGAGCCUGUUUUUUUCCAGAGUUCCCAGUUGUUUUGAACGAGAAGGGAAGCAUGAAGAGGAGCUUGGAGUGGGCAAGGGGGGGGAGGCUGAUAAAGCAGCAGAGAAGACCUGAUUCAUCAAGUAUCAAUUAAUUCUGGUGAUUCUCACCUGGUUGGCAUGCAUUCGCAACAUUAAGCCCAAUAAAAUAUCCAAUGUUAAUAAAACAUGUAUCCCAAUUUACAGUCAAGCAACAUUUGUCAGUCGUGUUAAUGUUAUGAACUACAAACAAUCUAUGGUUCUUGGAGUCAAGGAAUCAAUUGAAAGUGACUACAAUUAGACAUUUUAAAACUGUGCCAGUAAAGAAAUCUGCUCUUAUGAUUCUGUUUACAUUUUUUCCCAGACACUUCUGACACUCUUGUUAAUGUUUGACGUCAGGCAAAACGUCUUCAGCAACCGUAGGACGGAGAGCCGCUGGUUGGCAUUUGACUGCAGUGUCUGUGGGUGUACCAGAAAGGAUGCUAGACGUUAGGUCCCCAUGAUAUCGAAACUUCUUACCAUCUCCACUGCAGCCCAGUCGAUAUCGAUUUUAAAAAACUGGAACAACAGAUAGUGUAGCACAAUGCACAACUCCAGUUUGCCUAUUGUCCCAACAAAUGUCAAUUAUACAUGUUUACAUACGUCAGAGUGCAUUUUAUUUUAUAGCUCUGCUUUCAACGACAUCCUGACCCACAAACUGGUUAGCAGACUCAGGGCUCUGGGUGUAAAUCCUGUAAUAACAAAUUCGAUUUUUUACAUUAUAAGAAUGUGUGUCCACAGAAUGGACCCGGCACUACCAUGGUACACAUGAGUACAUGGAGCUGUGGGACCUGACAUAAUGGUGAUAGGAAAACAGUCUCAGCGUAAACAAACAAAGUAGGUGGUGAUACUUGACCAUUUUCCCAUCUGGUGAGGAGACUAGGAUACUGGUGAGGAGAGAGGGAGGAGACUAGGAUACUGGUGAGGAGAGGGAGGAGACUAGGAUGCUGGUGAGGAGAGAGGGAGGAGACUAGGAUGCUG
rnacentral:lncRNA from 1 species